rnacentral:rRNA from 1 species
GAUGAACGCUGGCGGCGUGCCUAAUACAUGCAAGUCGAGCGAACGGACGAGAAGCUUGCUUCUCUGAUGUUAGCGGCGGACGGGUGAGUAACACGUGGAUAACCUACCUAUAAGACUGGGAUAACUUCGGGAAACCGGAGCUAAUACCGGAUGAUAUUUUGAACCGCAUGGUUCAAAAGUGAAAGACGGUCUUGCUGUCACUUAUAGAUGGAUCCGCGCUGCAUUAGCUAGUUGGUAAGGUAACGGCUUACCAACGCAACGAUGCAUAGCCGACCUGAGAGGGUGAUCGGCCACACUGGAACUGAGACACGGUCCAGACUCCUACGGGAGGAAGCAGUAGGGAAUCUUCCGCAAUGGGCGAAAGCCUGACGGAGCAACGCCGCGUGAGUGAUGAAGGUCUUCGGAUCGUAAAACUCUGUUAUUAGGGAAGAACAUAUGUGUAAGUAACUGUGAACAUCUUGACGGUACCUAGUCAGAAAGCCACGGCUAACUACGUG